GGGCCCGUAGCUCAGCAUGGAUAGAGCGGCGGAAGGGGCCCUUUUUGCGAUUAACGAUUACGAUAUACACACCUUGCUUCCGUCUUUUGUCGCGCCGAAGUCGUUUUCCGGGGUUCAGGCCACGACGUGAUAUUCGACGAAAAGACGUUGAUAAAGCUGGCUGAGGUAGUCAGCCACUCCAUAUAUACAGAAUUACAAUCCGACCCACGCUCCGCAGCGUCACGGAGAGAAACUAUAAAAACGCACGGCUUCAAAGGUACAACCCCGCGGACCGCUGUGCCGAGCCUUCUAAGCCGUAGGUCGCGGGUUCAAAUCCCGCCGGGCCCGCCA
rnacentral:tRNA from 1 species